GUCACUACCAGUCUCUGCGUCUUGGUGGUAGUGGUCCCCCGGGCCCAGCUGUCUUUUCUUCUCUUUGUCUUGUGUCUUUAUUUCUAUGAUCUCUCCUCUCCGCACACAGGGAGAAAGACCCACAGACCGUGUACGGCUAGUCUCUACAGUUUGCUAUUGUGCAUUGUGGAGAGGACUAGAGAGGGCAAGAGUCUGCCAUCUUAUCCAGGUCAGAAAUGGAGGAGUUAAGUUUUGGAAAUAAUUUUUAGUGUAAUACUUUUAUGAUCUGAAGGAGAAAGCAAAUAUUUUGCUUGGUCUGUAAGGCUAAUUACUUCUGGAUAAUGAAGUAAUGGUAAGCCUGGUAAAUUCCAUUGGUAUUAGUCAUUACCUGCUUUCUUUUACUCUGAGGUGAGUUCCAUUGCCAGGCGCAAUGUUGUUUGAGAUACCCUGAUUGGACAUCGUGGAUUUGCAGGAACAAGCAUGAUGUCAGGAAAAGAAAACUUCAGCUAGAAACAAUUUUUAUUCCAUUGAGGACUAGUUGCUCUCCUGCACAUGAUGACAGGAGUAAAAUAUAAUUGACUUGUCAGAAGGUAUUCAGUUGGUCCCAGAAGGUAUAGUAUCAUCUCAGGAGCUCAAGGAAUGCUUUCAGAAAGAUGCAAAACGCAGAGAAUGUGUGGCCAAACUCAUCUGGUUUCAGAAGAUCUCUUGUCCUCAGAUAUGUCUACUCUCAUUAAAACAAAGUAUGAAGAUUUCCAUGGCUGGGGACACAGGCAGUGUCUUUGAUGAGGUCCUCUCAAGAUAGCUUAAGCGUGGACUAAACUUCAUAGGGUCCACAUGAAAAAUUGGCUUCAUUGAUCCACUAAAUUCUCAAGGUACAGUCCAUUUCUAUUCUGCCCUCAGGUGGUGCUCCAGCUAGCCCUUCACGUUCAUGUCUCCCCAGAUUCUAGGGAAACCAUGUCCAUUUCUCCCAACAGCUCUCUCACAUUCCAGCCUCAUCACAAGAUUCUCUGGCUGUGCAAACCUUCAGCCAGGGAGGAAGUUUCAACUUGUUCCUCCUAUCUGACAAUGCCAAUCCCCAAAAAUUAGUUUUUGGGAACUCCGUCUGUUGUUUUGGGGUAGGUGAGGGGCAAGAAUCUUCUCUAAUGAUUCCCCCUUUAAUUAACACAAAUCUUCUUUCACGUAAGCUGGAUGUUAAAGAUGGGCUGAAUGAGUUUGGUGGCUUAGUGAGCCAAGUCAGCAUAGGCUAAAUGCUAUAACAAACACCUCAGUGGCUUUAAAUGGUCAUGUCAUUGACGAAAGUGGUCAAUAUGUUGGUGGUUGUAGAGGAGCUCUGCUCUGUGUAGUUGCUCAGUAUCUAGACUUCUUUCACUAGUGUAUUUGCUGUAUUCUAUGUGAAUGGUCUUAUUUUGUGCCAUGGCUUCCUUUGGUAGUCUGUUAAAACCAAUAGAGUGUGGUUAAAAAUGAUAUUGUGUUGGUUCUGAGCCUGGGACUCAGGAAACUUUGCACAUUUCUGCUCUUUUUCUUCAAAUCCUGCCACUUCCAAAUGAACAAGCCUGGAUUUGUCUGCUGGAAAAUGAGAGACACGUGGCCAGCUGUGCAGUCACCCCAGCCUAUAGCUAGCCAAACUCCAGAAGGAGAGAAGGUCGCUGACCUGCCUCUGACUGUGGACACAAAAGGGAGCCAUGACAAGACUAGACGAAUCACCCAACAAGCUUGGCCUAAGUUGCUGACCUGCUGAAUUAUGAUAUAAAUAAAUGGUUGUUAUUUUAAGCCACUACGUUUGGGGUGGUUUGUUUCAUAGAAAUAAUUCACUGAUACAAGGAAGAUAACUUUCCUUUUAAUUGACAUGGCUGGUUGGUGAGAUAGUUCCUUUCACUUACGUUGCAUUGCUGAAAGCUAGUUAUCAGGCCUCCCUUACAUGGAAGAGGAGACUAUAAAAUGUAGUCCAGCAGUGUAACCAGAAGAGGCAGAGGACAUGGAUAUCGGUGGAUCCCCGUCAUAAGCACUUACUCAUUUUUCUGGGGCAAUGGACACACUUUCUGUUGACUUCUUACAAAUCUUGGAGUCUCAGCUGAAGCUUCUGUACAAAGUCAGAAUUAUUAUGUAAAAUCUUGUUGUGCCUUGUGAUAGAGAAGAUCACUAUCUUAUGUUCUGAUGACUCUCCAAAGAGGGUAGGAUUCUGUUUAAGUAGUCUCAGGGCCUGGUUAUCUUUAUUUCAAGGAGAGAAAGGAGGAAGCUUAGUGUAGGCCGACAGGUCUGAGCCAUAACCUUCAACUGCAUUUUUCAAGCCCCUCUAGUUUCUUGUGUAUAUUUCCUGUGGUGAGGAACCCCACUGGGAAGAGAGGUCAUGGCAGGAUUUAUGCAUUCUUGUGUUGUUGUGUUGUGAUUUCUGUCAUCACAGCAGAAUCAAUAUCUUUGUUUAUUGUUCUUAGGAGUCAGUAUCCAGUCUAUUGUCUAUAGUUCUAGUAGCAUGAUUUAUGAUUCAUGAGUUUAAAUGAUGUCUCAACACUGUAACACCACACACAGACACUGUAGAUUAUGUUAGAGGGAACACAAUGCGUCAGACAGACCCAGGUCUCAAUCCCUUCUUUUCUACUUACUAACUUUGUGACCUUGGGUAAAUUCUUUAAAUUCAGGUGCCUGUUUCCCUUUAGCAAAAUGUAGACAAUCAUAGCAAACAUCCCUGUUUCUUGUAAGCAUUACAUGAAAGAAAGAAUGUGAAAGUACUUGGCACUCGUAGAUGCUCUGCAAAUGCUAACUGAAUCUAAAUUAGAGGAGAAGCAAGCUAGUGUUUUAAAACAUACUUUAAUAAGUAGAAAUAGAUCACAAUGUUGAGUUAAUCAUAGCACAUUGUAAUCAUACAUCCAUGUAAGGCCCCUCUCUUGUGUGAAUCCAUUAAUUUUUCCUUUAUCCCUGUUUCACUGUCUCAUUUAUCUUCUUCCAUAGGUAUCUGUUACAUACACUUUAUAUAUAAUCAAAUUUAUUUAUCUUUGAAAAAUAGUUUGUUGUAUGUAAAGUUGGAUUGUUUGUAACUCACAAGAUAAAUUCUUGAGGGAACAGGUACCCCAUUCGUCAUGAUGUGCCUAUUUCACAUUGCAUGCCUGUAUCAAAACAUCUCAUGUACCCCCUAAAUAUAUAUAACUACUAUGUACCCACAAAAUUUUAAACAAGUUUAUGCAAAUGGCAUUAUACUAUAAAUUUCUGUCUUUUUAAAAACUUUUCACCCAGCAUGUUUUAAAUGAUUGUCCAUGGUGCUGAAUGCUGUCUCAUUCAUGACUUUUGAGGCUAAAUAAUGUUGCGUUACAUUUUCUACCUUUAACUUACCCAUUCCCCAAUUGUUGGAUACCUACGUUCUCUCCAAUACCAAAAAUAUGCAUUAAAACAUCUUCUAAAAUGCAUUUUUACCAACCUGCUGGAAAAUUUCUCUAGGAUAUAUGCCCAAGAGAGGGACUUAUGGAUCACAGAUGUGUGCAUACUUAUUUUAUUGAGGACACAACCAGACGGCUUUCUAGGAGGGCCGUACCAGUUUAUACAACUGUCAGUAGUGCAUGAGGAGCCGGUUUUCUGACAUCUUCACCAUCUUUCUAAUUUUUGUAUUAUAAUGGAUAUACAAUGGUAUCUCACUGUCAUUUUAGUUUUUAUUUAUCUAUAUACUUGUGUGUGUAAGAGUCUCCUUAUAUGUAUUUUGGCCAUUCAGGAAUCCCUUCUCUGCAUCAUCUCCUCAUGUCCUAGGGAAUCAGUUUUCUCAAUGCUAUAUGCCAACCAAAUCAUCCCUUCCCUAUUGCUUUAAAGAGUCACAUCUACUGUGAAUCAAAGUCACACGCAAACAAAUCUAUUUCUGAGGUCUCUAUUCUGUUCCGAUUUGUUCUAUUUAUCUCUAUCCAUGUUAGUCCAUACUGUUUAUAUAACAAUGGCCUUUCCUACAUCUUAAUAUCAUAAAGAAUAAUGUGCUCUCCCCACCUCAUCUUUCCUCUUUUAUUUCAAAACUGACUUAGCUCUUCAUGAAUUCUAUUCUUCCUUUGUAUCCUCAGUGCCAAUUUAUUAGCUUGUUGUCCCAACGCAGUUUAUUGAAAGAGCUAGCUUUUAAUAACUAAUGUGGUGUUAAUCACUCAUCUACAUUUCUAAGAUAUAGUAUGUAGUGUUCUUAGUUUUGCUAAUUUUUUUCUAGUCAUCAUUUUCUUUUCCUCUUUAACCAAAGAGUUAUUUUAGAGAGUGACUUUUAACAACUCAAAGUGACUCUAUUUUUAGGGUUAAUAUGUUCUUAUUAGUCUCUAGUUUUACUGCACUUUGCUUAGAGAUGUGGUCUGCAUAAUAUAUACUUUUUAGAAUUAUAGAUUGUCUUUGUGGUCUAAUAUGAUAGAUUUAUGUGAAUGAGCCAUGGGCACUGGAAAUCUAUUCUCCAUAGAGUUAAAGUUUGGUAAUUAUUAGACCAACCUUUAUUAUUUAACUCAAAGCCUUUUAUCUAGUAUUAGUAAACCAUAGGGGGCCACAAAGAAGUUCAUGAAUGGGCUUCAAGGUAUCCAUAAAUUCCCUGACAUGCAGGCAAUAUGCACAUGCUUCUGAGUGAGGAGAGAAAAUUCAUGAGAUUCCCAUAGGGGUCCAAGAGUCUAAAAAGAUGAACAACUACAGGAUUAAUUUUUGUUUUAUGUUUGUUUAUUUAUAUCUAUUUGAUCUGUCAAUAGCAUUAUAACUGUGCUUUUAACAAUUUUGUCUUGUUUUUAUACUUCUUUUCAUUCUAUAUAUUGAAGCAAUGUUGACUGAUGCAUAUUUGUGGAUAUUUAUAAUGUAACUACAUAUUUUAUUCUUUUCAUUAUAAAAUGUUAAUUAUAAAGUCAUUAAGAAUCCUUUUUAAUAUAUUUGCCCUGAAUUCAGCAGUGUCUGAUUUUAUUACUCAAUUGUAGCUUUCAGUUUAUUUGUGUUUGUCUGAUGUAUUUUUUCAACUUUAGGCUUUUUGCUUAGUUGGAUUCUUUUUGUAUCAAUUAUAUUUAAUACGGAAUUUUAAUCUUUCUAUGUUCAUUGCAAUAAAUGAUAUAUUUGCUCCUACUUCUGUCAUUUUGUUUUUAUUUGGUUGUUGAUGUUCAUGCUUUGCUUUUUUUGUCAUUUCUGUCUUUUGCUGUAUGUUAGAUGCAUUCAUUGUUUUUCUUUUCU
rnacentral:lncRNA from 10 species